GGCCUACGGGGCGCAGCAGUCGAGAAUCAUUCACAAUGGGGGAAACCCUGAUGGUGCGACGCCGCGUGGGCGAUGGAGUACUUCGGUAUGUAAAGCCCUAUCAGCAGGGAAGAAAAUGACGGUACCUGACUAAGAAGCCCCGGCUAAAUACGUGCCAGCAGCCGCGGUAAUACGUAUGGGGCAAGCGUUAUCCGGAUUUACUGGGUGUAAAGGGAGCGUAGGCGGCCUGGCAAGCCUGAUGUGAAAUACCGGGGCCCAACCCCGGGGCUGCAUUGGGAACUGCCAGGCUGGAGUGCCGGAGAGGG
rnacentral:rRNA from 1 species